AAAUAAAUGAAUUCUUAUAAUUUGAAAUUAACGUCUUAAAGGGCAAUAUUUCGUACACAGCUGCUAUGGAAGCAAAUACCCAGUGGCGACGACCUGAAUGAGCGCAUUUGUAAUGUACAAAAUAAAAAGUGCUACUCAUACGACAGAAUCGAGCUCUUGUCAACUUCGUUACUGUAUGCCCCUUCCCCGCUAACCAACAAACGAUUUUCGUCUUUCGUUGCGUCGCGACGAAAUCGCCGAAUUUCGUUUUGGACUUUACCGUUUUUUGCAUGGAAUGCGUGCCUUCUUUCGUUUGGUUUUUUUGUCUAUGCCUAUUCCUUUUGUGUGUAUAGUGUUAAUGAGUGUAAAUACAAGUUCAAAAAUGCAUAUGUGUGAUGAUUUCUGUUUUCGUUUUACCCGCCGCGGCGCGUCACUUUUCUGCUAUUGUUGAGCCGUGCGGACGUAAAUUUAAAGGGAAGUAUCUGAUGCUAUAAAAACCGAAGGGUCCACUAAGAAGACCUAUAUAAGUACAAUAAGAAACUGCUUUCGCGUCCAGAAAGGUCGACUGGCAAAUCAGAAGUUCGAUAAUAAGGACAAACUAGAUAAUAAGACAUAGCUUUAGAUUUAGAUGUAGAUAGAUAUAA
rnacentral:sRNA from 1 species